rnacentral:lncRNA from 1 species
UUCCUCUAAAUCUUUCAAGAUUUUCACUUGUUUUAACUUGGUUUUGAAGAUUUAAGCUUUUGAGCAAAGUUUUGGAGCUUGGAGGUUCAAGAACCAAAUCUCUCCCAACUCCGAGUUUUUGGUCGUCUCUCUCGAUCUUCAAGAGGUAAGAGCCGAUCUUAAGCUCGUUUUAUGUUUUAAAUAAGUUUUAUGCAAGAUCUAUGGGUUAGAAUGCAUGUUUAGGUUAUGGUUAUGUUUAUGGGUAUAAAUGUGUGUUCU